rnacentral:tRNA from 1 species
GAAUGGCGUAGUGGUUAGUGACCCUGGUGACCCUGACUACUGAGCUGAAGGUCCCGGGUUCGAUUCCCGGCAGGGGCA